UGAAGGUGUUAAGAUAAGAGACGAGCUGCAAACCACAAGUUGAACAAAAUAAAUACAAUCAUGCAAGAAAAAAAAAUCCUGCACUACAACACAGUUCCUGCUCAAAGUCUUCAUCCUGUUUGUGUCAGCGAAAGAGCUGAAUUUCCCUUGAUCUUCUUAAAGCUACUGUAAAGACGUCUCGAGGACUGAUCCCCACAGUGUGUUUAGGCUACUGUUCAUCUGCGCUUAUCUCUGAGGUGAUAGGGCUAGGAGGACCCCCUAAAGGGCGGAGCGAUUUGGUCGAAAUUGAAGUAUGGAAACUGAAAUCAAGAACGGACGAGCAAGCUCGCUCUACAAAAUCAUGAGGAGAUUAUUAAUUGGAUAUGUCGGGAUAUGUGAAUAUGGUUUAUAAAUCUUUUUUCCUCUGUCUAUGGAUUUGGUUCUCACAUGGUGUGUUUGGUGAUACAGAUGUAAUGCAGUCAUUAUCAGUGAUGGAGGGCGAUUCUGUCACUCUAAACACUGAUGUUAAUUUACAGAAAGAUGAUCAGAUACUGUGGAUGUUUAAAGUUAACAAUUCAAUCACUCGUAUUGCUGAUAGACAGAAGAUCUAUAUAGCUAACAGAACUGUGACAUUCAGAAACAGACUGCAGAUGGACAGCCAGACUGGAUCUAUGACCAUCAGAAACAUCAGAACUGAACACUCUGGACUUUAUAAACUACAAAUCAUCCAAGAUGACGUUACAUCCAAGAGUUUCUCUGUUGCUGUCUAUGCUCCUCUUCCCAUUCCUAUCAUCACCAGAGACAAUUCAAACUCUUCAUCAUCAUCAUCUUCUGAACGGUCAUCAGUGUCCAGAUGUUCACUGCUGUGUUCAGUGGUGAAUGUGGGUCAUGUGACUCUCUCCUGGUACAAAGGAAACAGUUUAUUGUCCAGCAUCAGUGUGUCUGAUCUCAGCAUCAGUCUCUCUCUACCUCUGGAGGUGGAAUAUCAGGAUAAAAACAGCUACAGCUGUGUGCUCAACAAUCCCAUCAGCAACCAGACUCAACAUCUGGACAUCACUCAGCUCUGUCACACAUCUGCAGGUAUUUCAUGGCUAGUUGCAAUAAUCUGCGGUUGUUCUGCAGUAGUUCUGGCUAUGAUAGCAAUUGUGAUGUGCUGUCUUUACAGGAAAUACAGAAAAUCAAGGCCAAAAGGCAGGUCUUAUCUGAAGCUAAUGCAUCAAGCAUAUGUGCAUUUGUCUUUUAAUGAUUGCUAUUAAUGAUUUAAAAAACUUUUUUAAAUAUUUUUUUCUUCCAUGCAGCUGAAACAGUUCCGACAAACGAGAGUGAGGUAGUUUACACAGAAACAACAUUUGUACCUAAUGUACAAAGGAAGAAGGCUAAUGGGACAGAAGAGACGAUAUACUCCGCUGUCAAAAAACACUGAUCAAACAAGCAGAAGUCUCUCAUUUCACCACAAUGGCUUUGUACGCCUGCAUCUGUCAGUAUUACUGCACUUGAUCGAGGAGAGGAAAACAUAAUUUGUGCUUGAUUUUAUUUGCCUUUUAACUUCAAAUAAUAUUUGGGGAGGAAUUUUGUGGUCCAAACAACAUUGAGCCGCAUUCAUUCUUACUGUAUGAAAUGUGCAUUUAAAAUAUUGUAUAAAAAAAAAAC